rnacentral:rRNA from 1 species
UACGGAUGGAGCUAGCGUUGGUCGGAAUUACUGGGCGUAAAGCGCACGUAGGCGGCUUUGUAAGUUAGAGGUGAAAGCCUGGAGCUCAACUCCAGAAUUGCCUUUAAGACUGCAUCGCUUGAAUCCGGGAGAGGUGAGUGGAAUUCCGAGUGUAGAGGUGAAAUUCGUAGAUAUUCGGAAGAACACCAGUGGCGAAGGCGGCUCACUGGACCGGUAUUGACGCUGAGGUGCGAACGCGUGGGGAGCAAACAG